UACCUUCCAUGUGCUUGCUCUAUGUGGAGAAGACAUAAAUUUUCUUCUUCCACCUGUCAGUGCUUUGUUAGUUUCUUACCAUGCUCCUAGUCUCACGAAAGUGACGUAAUAUCAUAUGUUGAUGUUGCGAAUAUCAUUUUGUCCUGCAUAGGGUAUUCUUGCACUGUCAGGGCUGAUGGAUGCACGUGGUAAGCCGGUCCUUCUCUGCGGAUGCAAUGACAACACUGUUCGCUUGUGCGAGCUCCCAUCGUUCACUGAAAGGGGCAAGAUAUUCUCAAGACGAGAAGUGAGGACUCUUGAGACGGCUCCCGGAGGCCUAUUCUUCAUGGGAGAUGCCGCGGGGAUUCUUACCGUUUGGAAAUGAUUGGAUUCUCCGAAGAGCCAAAAAGAGCAGCUUCCUCAUUCGAUGGAGUCAUGCUAAGUAGAAGAGAGAAUCAAGAUAUGGACGUUGGAGUUCAAAUUUCACAAGGAAGACAUUGUUAUCUAUGCCCCGGCGCAACUGAGAUUGUGAUUUAGAGCAAGAAACCGGAUGGCUGUAACUACUACCGUCUGCGCCGCAAUCCCAAUUUUUGGGCUCUAUCGUUUUUGUACAGACAUUAUUUUUUUGACAGCAACGGUUGGACUUGUAUAUGAUUCACCAUUAGUAAUUGAUAUGCCUUUUGCUAUUCAA